rnacentral:rRNA from 1 species
UACGAAGGGGGCUAGCGUUGCUCGGAAUCACUGGGCGUAAAGCGCACGUAGGCGGAUCUUUAAGUCAGGGGUGAAAUCCUGGAGCUCAACUCCAGAACUGCCUUUGAUACUGGGGAUCUCGAGUCCGGGAGAGGUGAGUGGAACUCCGAGUGUAGAGGUGAAAUUCGUAGAUAUUCGGAAGAACACCAGUGGCGAAGGCGGCUCACUGGCCCGGUACUGACGCUGAGAUGCGAAAGCGUGGGGAGCAAACAGG